rnacentral:rRNA from 1 species
AUGCAAGAACUAGUGGGACAACAACAAGAAGAGAUUCAAAAGCUGAUGCAAGAGGUUGCCAACAGAGAGCAAUAUGAGUUGGAAUUGGCUAAUAUGGAUAUGGAAGAUUAUGAGAAAGAAAAUCAAACAGGGAAAGAGGAAUCUGGGUCUGGGAACUACAAUGAACUAACUGACUAUAAUGCUAGUCAGGAAUCAGUGGGUACCCUGGGUGAAAAGAUGGCUGGCAUUCAUGGAGUUGAGAUCCUGGAGAAGGGUGGAGAGGAGAAAGAAGCAGAGUUAGAAAGAAGCCUCGGAAACAAAGGGAAAGAGGAUCAGGAAGUAGAAGAGAUGGCAAAGAUCAGAGGAGAGGAAAGAGACAAUUAUGAUAAAGGAGCCGCCAAAAAGGGUGCUGGAGUUGGGGGCAAGAGUGCUAGAGCGAGUAGCAAGUGA